CUGUCUGAAUUUGAGUGUUUACAUUUCUCCAACCCUAUCCCUCAGCUGUUUAGCGAAACAGUGGUGGGUUCCCACUUUGUAGUUGUUUUAACUGCAGAGGGGUACACUACAAAAUAGGAUCGAAGAGUUAGCCAGCUAACUUUGAUAAGCAACCAGAGGGGUACACUACAAAGUAGGAUCGAAGAGUUAGCCAGCUAACUUUGAUAAGCAACCAGAGGGGUACACUACAAAGUAGGAUCGAAGAGUUAGCCAGCUAACUUUGAUAAGCAACCAGUGGGGUACACUACAAAGUAGGAUCGAAGAGUUAGCCAGCUAACUUUGAUAAGCAACCAGAGGGGUACACUACAAAGUAGGAUCGAAGAGUUAGCCAGCUAACUUUGAUAAGCAACCAGAGGGGUACACCACAAAGUAGGAUCGAAGAGUUAGCCAGCUAACUUUGAUAAGCAACCAGAGGGAUACACUACAAAGUAGGAUCGAAGAGUUAGCCAGCUAACUUUGAUAAGCAACCAGAAAUAACUAUUAAUUUUCUAAUUCACUUAGUACCCUACACUUAGAUAUAUGUUUUUUUGGUUGCUGAGUCAAUCAGACCAUAACCCUUUCAUGCUUAUCUUUCUAAAACAUUAUUUGAGAUAAUUUUGGCAAGUUAAAUGACUAACUUGCCAAAUCAUACAUUAUAGUGUACACUUCUGUUUGUAGUGUACACUUCUGUUUGUAGUGUACAAUUCUGUUUGUAGUGUACAAUUAUGUUUGUAGUUUGCCCCUUUCAAAAUGAACAAGUAGCUACAGGUAAAUUGUAUACAUUAGCUCAAUAGUUUGACAUCUUGCCUCCAUUUAUCAAUCUAUGCAUUUGAGUGUUUUACACUUCUCCAUCCCUUAGAUUGACCUGUUGUUGUCUGAACUGCAGACUGGCCCUUUUUCAUGAACAAAGCAGCAACAGCAUAAACAUAAAUACAUUAUAUAAUUACUGUCACAUUGGACUGAGCAGGAUCAGGAGGACCAGUUAGAGUUGGUCCACAGGUGUAUCUCAAUACUCUCUUAGUCUCCUCUCUGUGUCUAUGUCCUCAGUCGGUCCACAGGUGUAUCUCAAUACUCUCUUAGUCUCCUCUCUGUGUCUAUGUCCUCAGUCGGUCCACAGGUGUAUCUCAAUACUCUCUUAGUCCCCUCUCUGUGUCUAUGUCCUCAGUUGGUCCACAGGUGUAUCUCAAUACUCUCUUAGUCCCCUCUCUGUGUCUAUGUCCUCAGUUGGUCCACAGGUGUAUCUCAAUACUCUCUUAGUCUCCUCUCUGUGUCUAUGUCCUCAGUUAGUCCACAGGUGUAUCUCAAUACUCUCUUAGUCUCCUCUCUGUGUCCUCA